AUCAUAUUGCUAUCUUAUUUCAGGACAGUAUCCAUGCUCCCUGUCCGACACCCUCCCAUGUUGCAGUUAACAUUUCCCUGCCAGUCUUCUUCCCCCAUCAUGCCCAACCGACUGGUCCAAUAUUGUUCAAAACUAUAUGGAAAUGCCUCGUCAUCGUAGUUUGGAGUAUGUACAGAGCACUCAGGAUAACAAGCAGUUUAUUUGCUUGAUGAGACUGAUUUGCCGGGGAAGGGAGCAGACACUGCUGUGAGCAUGAUGAUCACUACUUCAAGUACCAUGGUUUGGAGAAGAAAAGCCGAAAUUGGCACUUUGGUCUUUGGAAAAGCAGCAAACAGGCCUGGCUUUGUGCAGUGCAGGUUUGUUGCAUCGGAUAUGGUGUAGUUUACCUUGAUGAAAACCAGAGUAGUUGUGUUACCUGAACUCCUUUCCGAAAUCUGCAUCAAGGGGAUGGAUCUUGAAUAGCAGUGGUAUUAACAUGACAAGAUCAGAUAAUACAGCAGAUUUGACAUUUAAAAAGACAGUGUGCCCUUGACAGUCUCAACCAAAGCAUUGAACAAACUGUGCAACCUGUUAAUUAACUUUUAGAGCUGUUUGUUUGGACUAGUAUUUGUCAUUCAGAAAUAAGUAGUAACAUUAUUUCUCAGUAUGAGAAAACUCCAGGAAUUAGAAACUUACUGAUAUUUACUAUAACUAUGUAAACAAACCUCUUAGGGGUUUAGCCAGGUUAAAGAAAGACAGGGAGCCACAGAAAAGAGACAGGUUUCCAUGUGUCAAUAGAACACCCUUCAUUUAGCUGUGAAGAAUUUUAACAUUUUGAAUGUUACAGAAAAUGUAAGGAACAUUGUAUAAUGUUUAAUUGAAGUACUAUUAGGUUUCAAGUGCCAAAUAUGUAAAGCCUGUGUGUAUUUAUAAUCAUGUUAAUGUAAAGUUGUUAUCAAAACAAAAUCAAUAUUUGACUGUCUUAAGCUUUUAAUUCUAUGAAGGCAGGAGGUUGCCAAUCUAUUUCUUAGUUCUACCUUUUUCAUAACUGUGGCCAGGGGUUUGCAGGCCCUUAUAACACUUUAAAAAAAACCUGAUAAAAUUUCAAUUUAACUUUGUUAACUUUGAUAUGGUAAUCUAAUCUUACUGCAGCUCAUUUCUGCAAUAUUAUGACUGAAACUGUAUGUUAUAACAAUAAGUAUGGUUACCUGUAAGUUACUUUAAAUGGAAUUUUUUGACAAGUAUAUAAGACAAAAUUAUUGGAAAAAAUAAGAAAAAAUUGUUUGUUAAAAGGUAUAAUGCAUGUAUGUAGACAAAAACAAAAUGAAUAAUUACUUUGUGUUUGAAUAAACUGUAUAAUAAUUGUUUUCACUUCUUACAUUUGAUAUAUACUCCAAAAUGGCAAUUUAGGAUUUGACUCCAAAAGUUUUGCACACAGUAUCACAAUAUAUUUAUAUAUAUCACAGGUUAUUCACAUCUACUGAUCUCCAAUAGUUCACUUUUAUUGUUCGCAUAUUGUUAACAUUUAUUGGUUCAUAGUUCGCGAAUGGUUCACAUGUACUAUUCGCAAAUUGUUUACAUGUACUGUUCGCAAAUUGUUUACAUUUAAUAUUCGCAAGUUGUUACCAUUUAAUAUUCGCGAAUUGUUAACAUUUAAUAUUCGCAAGUUGUUACCAUUUAAUAUUCGCGAAUUGUUAACAUUUAAUAUUCGCAAGUUGUUAACAUUUAAUGAUCUCCAU